rnacentral:misc_RNA from 1 species
UACACUGAUAUUACCACCACUUUCGCCGCACUGGUAUCGCCACCGCCACCUCCGCAACACUAAAUCCACUAGCACUGACAGUACAGUCACAGCGAGUUAACACUAAUAAAGACUACCACUAACAUCAAAAACACUACUACUACUACUUCGACUGUCACCGCUGCAAAUCGCCCUCACCACCACCAUCACCAUUACCAUCACUACUGCUGCUCCAACUGCAACUAGCUUGCUGCUGCUACUGCUACUGUAGCUGCUGCUGCUCUGCUGCUGUUUCCACCGUCCCCACCAGAGAUGUGUAGCCGGUAGCUGUGACAGAUAUUAGUCAGGUACAACAACACAAGAAGAUAAACUCACCACCGCCGAUCUUUAAAACAAGUCUUCUCUCCAACAGUGGUCAAGCACGUCACCCCCUCCUCCUCUAUUUGACCGUUGCACUAAUUAAACCGUUUUCAACCCCCACCACCAGAGCACCAUGGCUUAUAGUUUUGUAGAUAGCUUUUGGGUGAACAAUAUUGAAGAGUACAUAAGUACUACUGGGUUUGACAUUGUCUGGAAACGAAUGAAAGGUAGCCAAAAGUUGGGCAAAGACGUAGAAGAAUAUCUGAAAUCAUUAGCCAAAAUAGAAAAUGAAUACAGCAAAAGUCUGAAUAGAUUGAACAAAGGCUCUGAAAUAGGAGAGGACUUGGGGGUUAUGGGUCAAUCUUGGAUUAAGCUGAAAUAUGAAUUUGAUCAAGUUGCCUCUACACAUGAAGAAUUGAGUUCUGUACUUUCUUCUCAAGUUGAGAAAAUAAAGACAAUGAAUGAAGUUCAGGAUGAAAAGAAACGAAAAUGUAAAGAAUCAGUAAGAAAGUGUCACUCACACAACUCGACCUUAUACAACCGGACUUUAAAUGCUGAAAAAGUAUAUAAACAGAAAUUCCUUGAAAAUAUUCAGUGUAAAAAGCAGUAUGAGUCUACAAAAUCUUUUGCGGUUUCUACUAAAGAUACAGAAAAGUUAUUCAACAAACACAUCAAAGCUGUUCAGGGUAAAGAAAAUGCUGAUGCUCUCUACAAAAACCUCGUUGAUCAGCUGGAGGAGAGCCAUAAAGCUUUUGAAUGGGAGAUACACCAAGCCCUUAUUGAAUUUCAAAAAUUAGAAGAAGAACGAAUUGAUAUGCAACGUAAUCUUUUGUGGGUUGUGUUGAAUGCAAGAUCUCAAGUUUCAGUUGAAGAAGAUAAGUGUUAUGAAAAUGUUCGUAAAACAUUGGAACAGUGUGAUAUUCAGCGAGAUAUAAUAGAUUUCAUCUCUAAUCAUCAAACAGGAAGUACACGGCCUGCUUAUUUAAAAUACCACAAUCUUGAUGAAACAAGGAAGGAAAUACAAGUUUCACAUGCUCAAGAGUCCCUUUCAGAUGGAGAUUACUGUUCAAUUCAAUUCCCAAACUCUAAAAAAUUCAACUUGGAUUUAGUUCGCCUAAACUGAUGCCUAUUCACCAUUAACAUGUAUACACGCUUGAAUGAACAUUGAGAGACAAUGAUCCAUAAUUGGAUGUGAAUGUUAACCAGACCAUUAAAUGGAAGUUUGCGGUCAUGUAAUAGCAGUGGAUGCUUGAGAAUUCUUUAUGUGAUAUACUGAUAUAUUUGUCCAUGAAGAUAGCUUGCAUUUUGUCAAGUCUUCUAUUUUUAACUUGAAUACUUUUUAAACUUUGAAAUCAGGAUUAACUUUUGUGAAGUGUGCAAUGAGAAUCAUUUUUAUCAUUCCCAUCAUUUGUGAAGCAUCAGAUCAAUGUUGCCAUCAUUAGACAGGAUGAACCUAUCAUUAUUCCAUUAUUUCAUUUAUAGAGCCUUACUUACUAUCCUAGAAAUCAAAAAAUAUAUUGUUACCAAACAUGACUCAUCAGUGACAAUCUAUUAAAAUAAUUAUCUCUUGGGUUUAAUUUUAAUUUUUAUUAUUAUUUUUUUUUGCAUCUAAUUCCUGAUUUUUUAAUUUUUUUUUGAGGGUUUUUAAUAAUUUUGCAAUGUUGGGAAAUUUUGUGUUGUUUUUAUAUUUGUUUGCAUUUAAUUCAAUUUUUCCGUUGUAAAUAAAAACGUGACUACUGUUGUAUCAGGGUUAAUACAAUUAAUCCUACUGUGUUUAUAUUUUCACAGAUUCUGUAGGAAAUAAUCUCCAUGACUAACAUCAACUUCUUCACUUAACAUAUUAGAAUAUUUGUUGUGCAUAUUGACAUAAAAACAGAACAAAACAUAAUGAGCUAAAUAUUUCUUAAUGUUUAUUAUUGCCAAUUCAGCUGAACAAAGCAAACAUCACUAUUCAUUAGUGUGAGAAGGCAAUCAUUUCUCUCUAUUUUAAAAUGCUUCCAUUAAAUCUCUUCUAACACUAAACUCGACUAAAUGUUAUUCUCUACAGAGGAAAAAAGACAUGUAGGAACAAUUUUU